rfam:Triticum aestivum genome assembly, contig: Triticum_aestivum_CS42_TGACv1_scaffold_578066_7BL
UAGCUACUCCCUUCGUCCGGAAAUACUUGACAUUAAAAUGGAUAAAAGAAGAUGUAUCUAAACGUAUUUUAGUUCUAGAUACAUUUCUUUUCAUCCAUUUUGAUGACAAGUAUUUUCAGAUGGAGGGAAUACAAU